AAAACCGAUCGUAGUCCGGAUCGCAGUCUGCAACUCGACUGCGUGAAGUCGGAAUCGCUAGUAAUCGCGAAUCAGAAUGUCGCGGUGAAUACGUUCCCGGGCCUUGUACACACCGCCCGUCACACCAUGGGAGUGGGUUGCACCAGCAGUAGCUAGUCUAACCUUCGGGAGGACGGUUCCCACGGUGUGAUUCAUGACUGGGGUGAAGUCGUAACAAGGUAGCCGUAGGGGAACCUGCGGCUGGAUCACCUCCUUAAUCGACGACA
rnacentral:rRNA from 1 species